GGUCGAAUGGUGUAGUUGGUUAUCACGUUGGCCUCACACGCUAAAGGUCUCCGGUUCGAGCCCGGGUUCGAUCA